AAUUCGGCUUCUAGGAGCCGAUGAAGGACGGAACUAAUACCGAUAUGCUUCGGGGAGCUAUAAGUAAGCUUUGAUCCGGAGAUUUCCGAAUGGGGGAACCCAGUACACAUCAGUGUAUUGCUUGUCAGUGAAUACAUAGCUGGCCGGCGGCAGACGCGGGGAACUGAAACAUCUCAGUACCCGCAGGAAGAGAAAGAAAACUCGAUUCCCAUAGUAGCGGCGAGCGAAGUGGGAAGAGCCCAAACCGAGAAGCUUGCUUCUCGGGGUUGUAGGACUGGACAUUGGAGUUACCAAAGUCCGACGUAGUCGAAGUCAGCUGGAAAGCUGCGCCACAGAAGGUGAAAGCCCUGUAAGCGAAACGUCGAACCCUCCGUCCAGGAUCCUGAGUACGGCGGAACACGUGAAAUUCCGUCGGAAUCCGGGAGGACCAUCUCCCAAGGCUAAAUACUCCCUAGUGACCGAUAGUGAACCAGUACCGUGAGGGAAAGGUGAAAAGCACCCCGGAAGGGGAGUGAAACCGUGUGCCUACAAUUAGUCAAAGCCCGUUAAUGGGUAAUGGCGUGCCUUUUGUAGAAUGAACCGGCGAGUUACGUUUGCUUGCGAGGUUAAGAUGAAAAGUCGGAGCCGUAGCGAAAGCGAGUCUGAACAGGGCGAAUGAGUAAGCAGAUGUAGACCCGAAACCAAGUGACCUACCCAUGACCAGGUUGAAGGUGUGGUGAAACACACUGGAGGACCGAACCCAUGUAUGUUGAAAAAUGCUGGGAUGAGUUGUGGGUAGCGGUGAAAUUCCAAACGAACUUGGAGAUAGCUGGUUCUCUCCGAAAUAGCUUUAGGGUUAGCCUCGGAGGAUGGAUCAUGGAGGUAGAGCACUGUUUGAACUAGGGGCCCAUCAAGGGUUACUGAAUUCAGAUAAACUCCGAAUACCAUCGAUCUUACUCCGGGAGUCAGACAGUGAGCGAUAAGGUCCAUUGUCGAAAGGGGAACAGCCCAGAUCACCAGUUAAGGUCCCUAAAUUUAUGCUAAGUGGAAAAGGAUGUGGCGUUGCACAGACAACUAGGAUGUUCUCAGAAGCAGCCACCAUUUAAGAGUGCGUAAUAGCUCACUAGUCGAGUGGCACUGCGCCGAAAAUAUACCGGGGCUAAGCAUAAUACCGAAACUGUGGGUGCACCCGUAAGGGUGCGCGGUAGGAGAGCGUUCUAAGGGCGUUGAAGGUCGAUCGUGAGGACGGCUGGAGCGCUUAGAAGUGAGAAUGCCGGCAUGAGUAGCGAAAGAUCAGUGAGAAUCUGAUCCACCGUAUGACUAAGGCUUCCUGGGGAAGGCUCGUCCUCCCAGGGUUAGUCGGGAUCUAAGGCGAGGCCGAGAGGCGUAGUCGAUGACAAGCAGGUUGAGAUUCCUGCACUAGUUUAUUUUGUUUAAGCGAUGGAGGGACGCAGGAGGCUAAGGAAAGCGCACGGCUGGAAAUGUGCGCCCAAGCAGCAAGUCUGACAGCGAGUGAAAUGCCUGCAGUCUUAAGGACAAGCUGUGAUGGGGAGCGAAAUUAUAGUAGCGAAGUUCCUGAUGUCACACUGCCAAGAAAAGCUUCUAGUGAGAAAUAAACUACCCGUACCGCAAACCGACACAGGUAGUCGAGGAGAGUAUCCUCAGGUGAGCGAGCGAACUCUCGUUAAGGAACUCGGCAAAAUGACCCCGUAACUUCGGAAGAAGGGGUGCUGACCGCAAGGUCAGCCGCAGUGAAUAGGCCCAAACAACUGUUUAUCAAAAACACAGGUCUCUGCUAAAUCGUAAGAUGAUGUAUAGGGGCUGACGCCUGCCCGGUGCUGGAAGGUUAAGAGGAUGAGUUAGCGCAAGCGAAGCCCAGAAUUGAAGCCCCAGUAAACGGCGGCCGUAACUAUAACGGUCCUAAGGUAGCGAAAUUCCUUGUCGGGUAAGUUCCGACCCGCACGAAAGGCGUAAUGAUUUGGGCACUGUCUCAACGAGAGACUCGGUGAAAUUAUAGUACCCGUGAAGAUGCGGGUUACCCGCGACAGGACGGAAAGACCCCAUGGAGCUUUACUGUAGCUUGAUAUUGAGUGUUUGUACCGCUUGUACAGGAUAGGUAGGAGCCGUAGAGAUCGGAACGCUAGUUUCGAUGGAGGCGUUGGUGGGAUACUACCCUAGCUGUAUGAACACUCUAACCCGCGCCACUAAUCGUGGCGGGAGACAGUGUCAGGUAGGCAGUUUGACUGGGGCGGUCGCCUCCUAAAAUGUAACGGAGGCGCCCAAAGGUUCCCUCAGAAUGGUUGGAAAUCAUUCGCAGAGUGUAAAGGUAUAAGGGAGCUUGACUGCGAGACUGACAAGUCGAGCAGGGACGAAAGUCGGGCUUAGUGAUCCGGUGGUUCCGUAUGGAAGGGCCAUCGCUCAACGGAUAAAAGCUACCCUGGGGAUAACAGGCUUAUCUCCCCCAAGAGUCCACAUCGACGGGGAGGUUUGGCACCUCGAUGUCGGCUCAUCGCAUCCUGGGGCUGUAGUCGGUCCCAAGGGUUGGGCUGUUCGCCCAUUAAAGCGGUACGCGAGCUGGGUUCAGAACGUCGUGAGACAGUUCGGUCCCUAUCCGUCGCGGGCGCAGGAAAUUUGAGAGGAGCUGUCCUUAGUACGAGAGGACCGGGAUGGACGUUCCGCUGGUGUACCAGUUGUGCCGCCAGGCGCAUCGCUGGGUAGCUAUGAACGGCAGGGAUAAACGCUGAAAGCAUCUAAGUGUGAAAGCCGAAUUC
rnacentral:rRNA from 1 species